GGAGGGACGGAAUGGCUGCGGGAGAGGCUCCCGGGGGGAGUCACUUGCGCUGCUGCGCUCACGGCACGGGGUAGGCGGAUAGCCGAGGAAGGGCUGGCUCGGCCGAUCAUCAAAACUUUACGCUGUCUGUACAUUUUAACAAACAAAGGCAUCGGCGUUCGUUAGUUCUAAAUUACAUAACUUUUCUAUUAAUUAGUACUCCAACCCCUAUUUCGUAAUUAUAUCUCUCUCUCCUCGUGCUAAUUAGUCCUCAGGCGCAGUUCUUCCCUCCGUUUGAAUCUGGCGUCCCUUUUGAGUAGGCGGUCAAUGAGUCGGUGGUUGCGAUCCCACUGCUGGAAUUACCUUUCCCUCACUUACCGCUCGGUUCUGUUGACUUCAGUCCUGCUAUUUCUUCCCAGACAGCCCAUUCAUCUUGGGAUUGUCUUCCCUUAUCCUUAAAAGAUUAGCCAAGUGUACAGACACAAAAUCACGGAAUUGUUAGGGUGGGAAGGGACUUCUGGAGAUCACCUAAUCCAACCAUCCUGCCAAGGCAGGAUCACCUAAAGCAGGUCACACAGGAAUGCGUCCAGGUGGGUUUGGAAAGUCUCUAGAGAGGGAGACUCCAAGACCUCCCUGGGCAGCCUGUUCCAGUGCUCUGUCACCCUCAAUUGGAAGAAGUUAUUCCUCAUAUUGAGGUGGAACUUCUUGUGUUCUAGUUUUUGGCCCUUGCUCCUUAUGCUGUCACUGGGCACCACCAAAAUGAGUUUGGCACCAUAUGAAGCUCACAAUGCAAUUACUUAAUCAUAGCUGUUCAGCUACAGCUACUGAUUAACAACUUAAAAGAAGGCACAAAGUUUCACUCAAACCUCUAUCCAAACCUUGAGGGACUCAAAUCUUGAGGGGCUUGGUAUCAUUACCCCUCUAAGGCUUCAAGACAAGGGGCUUGGUAUCACCGGGCCCACUGCCCUAGGGGAAGCAGGAACCACGCUCCACAGAUGAACCCUCCUAUCUGUCCAAACCGCCAGGAGCCUCAGGAAGGCAGCGAGUUUGAGUGCUGCAUGGUAGGAGUUGUGACUGUAGAGCUCAGCUGUGGAAAGGGAAACCUCACAAGCUGUGACACUGUGGUGAAAGCAGUGGCUACUAGAAAGGAGUGGAGCUGUCAGGCAUUUAACGCCUUGGAGUGUCCCAUUCUCAAGCCCUGCCCUAAGGAUCGGUGUCUUAAAUAAAGCGAAACGCGGCUUCUCCAUAGCAAGCAUGGAAAUGUGUCUAUUGGCAGUAUACGGUGCAGAUUCAUGCGUUGUGUCGUCAUGGAUCAGCCACAUUAUGCUUGCUUUCUGCUGACUCAGCACAGCGUGGCUCAGACAGGCAAAACAGGCACUCUGCCCGCCAGGCUGGCUGGUCUGGGGACCAAAAAGGGAUAUUCAACCCAUGUGCUCAUCUCUCCCUUUCCUCUGCCACUUGUUCCAGACAGCUAAGGCUCUAAGCCUGCUAUUUUCUUCUUGCAUAAGCUACCAGGUGAUGACACCACAAAAAGGAAUGGUAAAACUGCUUUUAAAAUUAUAUAUUUGUUCUCAUGUUGUAGCAGACAACGAGUUUUGCUGUAAAGCAGGUGAUCCAUCCGUACUGAAAGUGUGCUUUACUAAGUAGAGCUAUCUUUGUCAUCUCAUGAACAUCUAAAGUAAUGUGCCAUAAGAGGAAAAGGGUAGAGCCUGGGAAAUCAGUCUUAACCACUCCUGUCACCACUGGGAGGGGCAGCUUGUCCAGGAUUAAAUGUCCUUGUACGCAAUCCAGAGAUGCUGUGGCAAUGGCAGCCGGGCCUUCCCAGGCACAGCCAUAGGGAAGGAGACAAUGGAGUUGACCUCAUUCUGCUGCAUCCGGUCACUUUCAGUAGGGCCCAAGUGUGUACCCUUCAGAGUCCUGCCAGAUUGCUUCUGUGAAAAACCUUUGCUAUAGUUACAAAAAGUGAAUAUAUGUGUUAUCAGUUCCUUGGGACUCUCCUGGCUCCUGCGCUAAGUAAACACCCAGUUGUGUUUUUUAUAGUUCAAUCAGAACUAAUUAGUAGUUGACUCAAUUUUACAUUAAAAAAAAUAUAUCCUACAAUGAAUGCAAAAAGUAAGCUCUCCUGCCAUACUCAUAUCUGAGUGCAUGAGUUCCUCCUGGGUGUAUAUUUUCCUCCGAGAUUUUAUUGCCCACUUACACUUGCAAGUAUUUGGUGUCUUAACUUGAGUUAGCCUUGCACUGGGUGCACUUUCCUGUCCUAGAGAACACCUCCACCCUCACAAGCUUGGAUUCUGAUCAGUUUUAAUACACAGUCUUAAGUGUGGGCAGUUGCCUCCGUUUGUUUCCAAUAUCAAGACCUUCAGGAGUAUAGUAAGCUUACAAGAUACAUGGCUGCCUAUAUAUGGAAGAUGGAAGCCAUCAAUACCUUCCAGCAUAACACUCAUAAACAUGGAAAGGGUGUGAAUAGGGAAGGGCAAAAACUGCAGCUAUGAGAUCAUAGUUCUACUUUAGAGCCAUAGUGACCUUUAGAUGGCUGUUGCUCAACAAAUGCAAUGACUGAUACUCUGCAUUUCUAAACAUCCACCACCACAACACGGAAAUUUCACUUUGUCUUAGAACAAGUCACUAGAACUUCAAAUGUACAGGCUCAAGUUAGCACUUCUUGAAGCAGCACCAAGAUAUCGAUUACAUUGCAUCAAAGAAGGAAAAUGUUGCUGGUCCAAUUUGCCUCUGUGAAACCCAGAGAGUGCAGUCCUUGUGAAACUUCCAGGAUCCCAGGGAAAACAAAGUAGUGCUACAAAAUGUGAGGAAUGUUGCAACUUCUCUGAAAGUCUUCAGUAGCAAAAUUUGACUGACUGAAGUGUUAGCUUGAAGAAAUAAAAUGGAUUAUUGGAAAGCACUUUCUUUUCAUCAUGCAUACUUCAGAAAAAAUAAAAUUGGGAGAAUAAUAUAUUC